AAUGGAAUGGAAUCUUCAAGGCCAAGUUCCAGGACAAAGUACAUUCAUCUGUUCAUUGCGAGUCUGGCCACAGGACAGAGCACUGCAUAUUGUUUUGUGAGAGAAUUAAUCAGCGACGUUUGUCCUUAACGAGACUUAAUCAAGUAGCCUUUAGAUGGAUAUAUCACCAUUCUUCAAAGAUCACAUGGAGUCGUUAUCCGGCAAGCAAACAAACAGCCUUUUUCAAGGCUUCCAGCCUAUUUUGGCGCUUCACGUCUCGGGACUCCUCCCAACGGAUACAAGGUGAACAUGGCACUUUCUCGUGCCCGGGAUGAAGUGCACUACCUGAAAAGGAAGGUGAGCGAACUCACUGCUCACACUGAAACUGGGAGGUGCAGUUUGACCAACCUGUUAAAAGGCAAAGAUCUUGCCUAUGAGCAGACAAGAACAGAAAUAAGUUUUCAGACCUCAUCAGGGAGAACAAGGGUUUUCUCUGAAGCUCCACAGAGACCACCGAACAACUCGUUGUCAAAAAUGCUGAACCCACGGUCCAGGAGCAGGCCAACAACCACCAGUUGGUAGAAGAACACAAACUGCUAAAGAUCAAGACAGAGGCUCUGGAUGAGACUAUCAGGGAGAACGAGGGUAUAUCUCUGAAGCUCACCGAGACCAAAAAAAAACUUUCUGUCAUAAGUGCUGAUCUCAGGGUCAACAACGAGACCUGGCAGCAGUUGGAAGCAGAAAACAAACUGCUGAAGACCCAGAGGGAUUCUCUGGCUGCUUUAAAAAAGAGCCACCACCAUGAGGAGACCCACCACGAGAUGGUCACAAGCAGUGGUUUUGUGGUUUCACUGAGUUGUGUCUGAUCUCUAAGAUCCAACAAACGGAGGAUACCAUUCCCAAAGAAUAUCAGAUCCUUAUCACCAGGAUCCAAGAAUUAGAGGAGGACAAAACAGUCCUUGAAAACAUCUGCCUCGACUUAAAGAAACGGACCGGCAGACGGAGAUGGACAAAAUGAGGUGCAAGAUGCAGGACAAGGAGACAAAGAAAUAGGAGAGAGAAAAGAAGAAAAAGGAGACCAUCCAGGACGUCAAGAUCAACGUGCCUGAGACUGGACACAAGUAAGAACACCUUCCUUCGCCUCCCACUCCAUCCUACCUCAUCCAUCUACCCCCGCUCCCCUUCCACCCACGCUUCACAGCGCUCAAGAACCCUCGCGCCCCCACCGCCAGGGCCCCCAUCACACCUAAAUACCCCCCUGCCCCCUCCCUGCCCCUUCCACCAGCUCUAAAUAUGUGGGGGGCUAUAUAAUGGGGGGAGGGGGAGCGGGGGGACAGGGGAGGGGGGGG
ensembl:lncRNA